UGGGGAAUAUUGGACAAUGGGGGGAACCCUGAUCCAGCCAUGCCGCGUGUGUGAAGAAGGCCUUAUGGUUGUAAAGCACUUUAAGCGAGGAGGAGGGUACUGGUAUUAAUACUACCAGGUACUGGACGUUACUCGCAGAAUAAGCACCGGCUAACUCUGUGCCAGCAGCCGCGGUAAUACAGAGGGUGCGAGCGUUAAUCGGAUUUACUGGGCGUAAAGCGUGCGUAGGCGGCUAAUUGAGUCGGAUGUGAAAUCCCCGAGCUUAACUUGGGAAUUGCAUUCGAUACUGGUAAGCUAGAGGGUGGGAGAGGAGGGUAGAAUUCCAGGUGUAGCGGUGAAAUGGGUAGAGAUCUGGGGGAAUACCGAUGGCGAAGGAAGCAAUCUGCCUAACACUGACGCUGAGGUACGAAAGCAUGGGGAGCAAACAGG
rnacentral:rRNA from 1 species